GACAGAGGGGGCAAGCGUUGUUCGGAAUUACUGGGCGUAAAGGGCGCGUAGGCGGCCUUCUAAGUCGAACGUGAAAUCCCUGGGCUCAACCCAGGAACUGCGUCCGAUACUGGAAGGCUUGAAUCCGGGAGAGGGAUGCGGAAUUCCAGGUGUAGCGGUGAAAUGCGUAGAUAUCUGGAGGAACACCGGUGGCGAAGGCGGCAUCCUGGACCGGCAUUGACGCUGAGGCGCGAAAGCUAGGGGAGCAAACGGG
rnacentral:rRNA from 1 species